UACGAAGGGGGCUAGCGUUGCUCGGAAUCACUGGGCGUAAAGCGCACGUAGGCGGCUUUCUAAGUCAGGGGUGAAAUCCUGGAGCUCAACUCCAGAACUGCCUUUGAUACUGAAGAUCUUGAGUCCGGGAGAGGUGAGUGGAACUGCGAGUGUAGAGGUGAAAUUCGUAGAUAUUCGCAAGAACACCAGUGGCGAAGGCGGCUCACUGGUCCAUUACUGACGCUGAGGUGCGAAAGCGUGGGGAGCAAACAGG
rnacentral:rRNA from 1 species